rnacentral:lncRNA from 1 species
GUGCCUUUAAACAACUGUCCGAUAUAAGUGUUGAGCGCUCACAAACAUGUUUAACCCCCGCCAAAUGCUUUGUGUGCAUGUCCUUAGUCCGGAGACUAGAAUUCAGUAGUUUUCAUUGGUUCGUGUUUUAAAUCGACCGUUAGUUUUCUCGUCUGAAUAGGUUGGCAUUCGUUUGAUGUGUUUGGGAUUUUCAUUUGGCUAAUUGAUAAAGGACUCUUCGACCGUAGAGUUCGGUAUUUUUGUUAUUUUAUUUUUUUAAUAUAAUUUUAUAACGGGGCCUUAAUAGCUGACUAACGGUAUAGAUUUUGUUCAUUGUUUAAGGCCAUUGGGUGACUUAUUAUAGCUUCGACCACGUCAUAUGAACUCUGGUGAAAAGUCGUCUCAUUAGAAAUCACACAACAUAUUUUUCUUUUAAUAAUAUAUAUAAAAAUAAAGAUGUAGUAUGAUUUUCUAUGAGACAACUCGUCACAAGAGAC